rnacentral:rRNA from 1 species
UACGGAGGGUGCAAGCGUUAAUCGGAAUUACUGGGCGUAAAGCGCACGCAGGUGGCUGAGAAAGUCGAUUGUGAAAGCCCUGGGCUUAACCUGGGAAUUGCAGUCGAAACUACUCGGCUAGAGUAUGGGAGAGGGUAGUGGAAUUCCCGGUGUAGCGGUGAAAUGCGUAGAUAUCGUAAGGAAGACCAGUGGCGAAGGCGGGUCUCUGGACAGUUCCUGACGCUGAGGCACGAAGGUCAGGGGAGCAAACGGG